rnacentral:rRNA from 1 species
AGAGUUUGAUCCUGGCUCAGAAUCAACGCUGGCGGCGUGCCUAACACAUGCAAGUCGAACGAGAAAGUGGAGCAAUCCAUGAGUAAAGUGGCGCACGGGUGAGUAACACGUGACUAACCUACCCUUGAGUGGGGAAUAACUUCGGGAAACCGAGGCUAAUACCGCAUAACACCUACGGGUCAAAGGAGCAAUUCGCUUAAGGAGGGGGUCGCGGCAGAUUAGUUAGUUGGCGGGGUAAUGGCCCACCAAGACAGUGAUCUGUAUCCGGCCUGAGAGGGCGCACGGACACACUGGAACUGAAACACGGUCCAGACUCCUACGGGAGGCAGCAGUGGGGAAUUUUGCGCAAUGGGGGAAACCCUGACGCAGCAACGCCGCGUGGAGGAUGAAGUCUCUUGGGACGUAAACUCCUUUCGAUCGGGACGAUAAUGACGGUACCGGAAGAAGAAGCCCCGGCUAACUUCGUGCCAGCAGCCGCGGUAAUACGAGGGGGGCGAGCGUUGUUCGGAAUUAUUGGGCGUAAAGGGUGCGUAGGCGGUUCGGUAAGUCUUGUGUGAAAUCUUCGGGCUCAACUCGAAGUCUGCACGAGAAACUGCCGGGCUUGAGUGUGGGAGAGGUGAGUGGAAUUUCCGGUGUAGCGGUGAAAUGCGUAGAUAUCGGAAGGAACACCUGUGGCGAAAGCGGCUCACUGGACCACAACUGACGCUGAGGCACGAAAGCUAGGGGAGCAAACAGGAUUAGAUACCCUAGUAGUCC